AACGAACGCUGGCGGCAGGCCUAACACAUGCAAGUCGAGCGGACCUUUCGGGGUCAGCGGCGGACGGGUGAGUAACGCGUGGGAAUAUGCCCUUCUCUACGGAAUACUCCUGGGAAACUGGGGUUAAUACCGUAUACGCCCUUUGGGGGAAAGAUUUAUCGGGGAAGGAUUAGCCCGCGUUGGAUUAGGUAGUUGGUGGGGUAAUGGCCUACCAAGACGACGAUCCAUAGCUGGUUUGAGAGGAUGAUCAUCCACACUGGGACUGAGACACGGCCCAGACUCCUACGGGAGGGAGCAGUGGGGAAUCUUAGACAAUGGGGGCAACCCUGAUCUAGCCAUGCCGCGUGAGUGAUGAAGGCCUUAGGGUUGUAAAGCUCUUUCAGAUGGGAAGAUAAUGACGGUACCAGCAGAAGAAGCCCCGGCUAACUCCGUG
rnacentral:rRNA from 1 species